rnacentral:rRNA from 1 species
AACGAACGCUGGCGGCAUGCCUAACACAUGCAAGUCGAACGAGAUCCUUCGGGGUCUAGUGGCGCACGGGUGCGUAACGCGUGGGAAUCUGCCCUUAGGUUCGGAAUAACAGUUAGAAAUGACUGCUAAUACCGGAUGAUGACGUUAAGUCCAAAGAUUUAUCGCCUGAGGAUGAGCCCGCGUAGGAAUAGCUAGUUGGUGUGGUAAAGGCGCACCAAGGCGACGAUCCUUAGCUGGUCUGAGAGGAUGAUCAGCCACACUGGGACUGAGACACGGCCCAGACUCCUACGGGAGGCAGCAGUGGGGAAUAUUGGACAAUGGGCGCAAGCCUGAUCCAGCAAUGCCGCGUGAGAGAUGAAGGCCUUAGGGUUGUAAAGCUCUUUUACCCGAGAUGAUAAUGACAGUAUCGGGAGAAUAAGCCCCGGCUAACUCCGUG